rnacentral:rRNA from 1 species
CCUACGGGUGGCAGCAGUGGGGAAUAUUGGGCAAUGGGCGCAAGCCUGACGCAGCAAUGCCGCGUGAAGGAAGAAGGCUUUCGGGUUGUAAACUUCUUUUGUCAGGGACGAAGCAAGUGACGGUACCUGACGAAUCCGUCACGGCUAACUACGUGCCAGCAGCCGCGGUACUACGUAGGUGGCAAGCGUUAUCCGGAUUUAUUGGGUGUAAAGGGCGUGUAGGCGGGAGCGCAAGUCAGAUGUGAAAACUCAGGGCUCAACCCUGAGCCUGCAUUUGAAACUGUGUUUCUUGAGUGCUGGAGAGGCAAGCGGAAUUCCGUGUGUAGCGGUGAAAUGCGUAGAUAUACGGAGGAACACCAGUGGCGAAGGCGGAUUGCUGGACAGUAACUGACGCUGAGGCGCGAAAGCGUGGGGAGCAAACAGGAUUAGAUACCCCGGUAGUC